CGUUAAUAUGCAAUUUCAAUCUUGCAACCAAACAUCACUGAAAGAGAAUUUAAGUAUCAUUUUUACUGGCGAGUAUAGAAGAAUACCACCUCAUGAGAAGCCACUUGAGUGCAUUGUAUGUAUCAGAUGCAGACUGAAUGAAACAGAAAAGUGCAACACAAC